GACGAACGCUGGCGGCGUGCUUAACACAUGCAAGUCGAACGGAAAGGCCCUGCUUUUGUGGGGUGCUCGAGUGGCGAACGGGUGAGUAACACGUGAGUAACCUGCCCUUGACUUUGGGAUAACUUCAGGAAACUGGGGCUAAUACCGGAUAGGAGCUCCUGCUGCAUGGUGGGGGUUGGAAAGUUUCGGCGGUUGGGGAUGGACUCGCGGCUUAUCAGCUUGUUGGUGGGGUAGUGGCUUACCAAGGCUUUGACGGGUAGCCGGCCUGAGAGGGUGACCGGCCACCUUGGGACUGAGAUACGGACCAGAAGCCUACGGGAGGCAGCAGGCGGGAAUAUUGCACAAUGGGCGGAAGCCUGAUGCAGAAACGCCGCGUGCGGGAUGCCGGCUUUCGGGUUGUAAACAGCUUUCGCAUGUGACGAAGCGUGAGUGACGGUAAUGGGUAAAGAAGCACCGGCUAACUACGUG
rnacentral:rRNA from 1 species